UGAAGACCUUUUUUAUAUGAUGGACGUGGAAAGCUUGUUGGGUGUUAAUGUGUAGCCCGUGACAUGCAUCUCACCAAGCUACUGUUUGCUUUUUUUUUUUUUAUUUGCUGGGUCGUGGCAUAUGCUCUACUAAACGUUGAGUCCAAUAAUCAACACAUCUUCUUUUUGAAGCUCUACGUUGCAGCCCACACCAUGUGCUUCAUAAAUGAAAUAAUUGAAUUUCACAUGUUGUUGUAGCUUGCUAGACUCAUUCUGCUGUAGCAUUUUCAUUGUGUGGGUCGUGUGUGUUGUUGGAGGUGGGACGCUCCUGG
rnacentral:lncRNA from 1 species